CCUGUGAUGGGGUACUGCCAAGAACUCUGGAGAUCCCGCCACAUUAUGGCUUUGGCCAUACCGAGAGCUCUCCACUGAGAACGUCAGGCAGAAGAGACCUGGGGCUGGUUGCCUGAGUACUGCCAGGGGAAACGAGAAGAGGAGCAAGCAGUACAGUUGUCCUUAGAUAUGUUUCGAAGUGAUUGAUGCUACUUGUAAUAGAGUGCGGAAAAGUUCAAGGCGAAGCCCAGCUAGAUCCAGUUCUGGAGGAUUCUGAACAACUUCCAAUGACCAGAUCUGUUUGUAGGACUGGAGGAAUAUGGUGGAGAACAUAAUCAGAAUAGAGAGGAAAAUAAGGUGAAGG
ensembl:lncRNA LOC108350369 uncharacterized LOC108350369